UCCCAGCCCCACACAGGCUGCUGUGUCUCGCUGCAGAGCCGGCAGCGCACAGGCCAGCAGGGGGCAGUCCGCGCGGAGACAGGCUCAGGCCCUGCCUACAUGGCGGGGAGAGACUCGCGCCCCGCGCAGACAGGAAGCGGCUCCUCAGCGGCCCAGGCCCAGGAGCUGGCAGGGCUCUGCACAGAAUGAGGAGGUGACUCUCAGCCCCAGCCUGAUGCACAGAGCUCUGAGCGCUUUGUGAUGAGCCCUUCUCGGAGGAGGGGACUACAGAAACCUUCUACUUGUGCACUCCUGGAGAACGAGCCCUCCUCUGCGUGUGGCUCUCCCAGGUCUGUGUGAGGGAAUCUCCAAGAGGCUGCUGACGCAGCAGGGCUGUGCUGGGAGAAUGGUCUGUGCCCAGGUGGAAGCGAGCCCUGGGAAGUGCUGGCAGAAGGUGCUGUAUGAGAGGCAGCCCUUCCCAGAUAACUAUGUGGACCACCGGUUCCUGGAGGAGCUGCGGAAGAACAUCUACGCCCGCAAGUACCAGUAUUGGGCAGUGGUGUUUGAGUCCGGGGUGGUGAUCCAACAGCUGUGCAGCGUCUGCGUCUUUGUCGUCAUCUGGUGGUACAUGGACGAUGGGCUGCUGACCCCACAGUGGCUGUUUGGGUCUGGCCUGGCCUCUUCCCUGAUUGGCUAUGUCCUGUUUGAUGUCAUAGACUUGGGGGUGGGGAGGAAGCAGAGCGGUCGGACCCGGUGGGCAGAUCUGAAAAGCACCCUGGUGUUCAUAGCUUUCACCUAUGGCUUCUCCCCAGUGCUGAAGACCCUGACGGAGUCGAUCAGCACGGACACCAUCUACGCCAUGUCGGUCCUCAUGCUCCUGGGGCACCUGAUCUUCUUUGACUAUGGGGCCAAUGCUGCCAUCGUCUCCAGCACGCUGUCCCUCAACAUGGCCAUCUUCGCCUCUGUGUGCCUGGCCUCCCGGCUGCCCCGCUCCCUGCACACCUUCGCCAUGGUCACCUUCGCCAUCCAGAUGUUUGCCCUGUGGCCCAUGCUGCAGAAGAAGCUCAAAGCGCGGACACCCCGCUGCUAUGUGGGGGUGACCCUGCUCUUCGCCUUGUCUGCGCUGACUGGGCUGCUGACCAUCUCGGGCGUCGCUGCCCUUCUCUUUGCCCUUCUGCUGGUCUCCAUUUCAUGCCUGUGUCCUUACUGCCUCAUCCGGCUGCAGCUGCUCAAAGACAACAUCCAUGGGCCUUGGGAUGAAGCUGAAAUCAAGGACGACCUCUCCAGGUUCCUCAUGUAGACUCGUCCAGGACACACAGCAGGCCGGCAGGACCCCUACAGUGCUACCGGAACAAAAGCCUUCUGCCUUAGAGACGACCUCCUGAGUGCCAGAAUCACAGAGAAGUGUGGGGGAGGUUGCAGUGUUAGAACAGAGCCUCUUCUCCCAGAGUUGCAAAGCUGUCGGGUCCGAUGUGUGUCUGGAAACAUCCCCAGGUUCUUAUUGCGUUGGCAUCUUCCCUUCUCAGGCUGUUGUAGCACUGGGUAUUUCCGCUAACAGACAGGCACAAGCAGAGGAAGGGGAUUGUUUGCCAAAGGCUUCCAGCAACACUUUGGCGAGCCAGCUUGGUCUGCUUGGCUGGAACACGAGAUGAUGGACGUGCCUGAAUUGUCUGGCCUUAUCGUGCUGCUCCCCUUUGAGUCCAGUCCAUUACCGACUGACUCAGCUGUGGCUAGUGCUGUCUCCUUCCCACGAGAGCAAGACAGCUCUGAGAGGCCUCUCCGUUCACACCUCUGUGCUACCUGUGCUCUGCAGGACUGUUUGUUCCCAACACGCUUCAGCAGGGAUCGCUCGCUCUCGGUGUCAGAUCCGAGGGCUGGAUUCUGGGUUUUACACGUUCAUUCAGGGAGAGGCUUAGUUUAAAUCAUGGUCAUGGGUGUAACUCCCCCGACACCACAGAUGGGUUUGUUUCAUGCUGCUCAUCCAUGCACUCUUGCUCUGAUGUGUGAGCUGAUCAGCGAUCCAUGGCAGUGCUCCCUGCACUGGACAGGUUGGUGCUCAGCACUCGCCCUCUGGAACAGCUGUUCCCGCUAGUGCUCCGAGUCCUGCUGGUUACUUCAGUGCUAGGACAGCGUGGCGGGGAGGGGAGGGCAUGAAGAACAGACUGAGAGGAGUCGAACAGCAAGAGAGGAUUGGUGGAAUGGCUCAGCUGUACAAUAAACCCCAGCCUUAGCAUGCAAGGUCACCUCCUGUACCCAGACAGCACCAUGGAAAUGAUUAUUACAAUAGAGCAGUGGUUCCCAAACUGGGGUUUGCAAAAUGUUACAGGGGGUUCUCGUGAAAAAAUUCCCUAAUGGCAGACAGAGCUGUCCCUAGGAACCCCAGGCACCAUGGGGCCAGCAGCCCAGAGC